AGUCAUGAGGUUGAUCCUGGCUCAGGACUAAAUACCCUGUUGCUCCUUAGAUGCGUUACCGGCGGACGGGUGAGUAACACGUGGAUAACCUACCUAUAAGACUGGGAUAACUUCGGGAAACCGGAGCUAAUACCGGAUAAGAUUUUGAACCGCAUGGUUCAAUAGUGAAAGACGGCCUUGCUGUCACUUAUAGAUGGAUCCGCGCCGUAUUAGCUAGUUGGUAAGGUAACGGCUUACCAAGGCAACGAUACGUAGCCGACCUGAGAGGGUGAUCGGCCACACUGGAACUGAGACACGGUCCAGACUCCUACGGGAGGCAGCAGUAGGGAAUCUUCCGCAAUGGGCGAAAGCCUGACGGAGCAACGCCGCGUGAGUGAUGAAGGUCUUCGGAUCGUAAAACUCUGUUAUCAGGGAAGAACAAACGUGUAAGUAACUGUGCACGUCUUGACGGUACCUGAUCAGAAAGCCACGGCUAACUACGUGCCAGCAGCCGCGGUAAUACGUAGGUGGCAAGCGUUAUCCGGAAUUAUUGGGCGUAAAGCGCGCGUAGGCGGUUUUUUAAGUCUGAUGUGAAAGCCCACGGCUCAACCGUGGAGGGUCAUUGGAAACUGGAAAACUUGAGUGCAGAAGAGGAAAGUGGAAUUCCAUGUGUAGCGGUGAAAUGCGCAGAGAUAUGGAGGAACACCAGUGGCGAAGGCGUCUUUCCGCUCGGUUA
rnacentral:rRNA from 1 species